rnacentral:misc_RNA from 1 species
GAUGAAGAACGUAGCGAAAUGCGAUAAGUAAUGUGAAUUGCAGAAUUCAGUGAAUCAUCGAAUCUUUGAACGCACAUUGCGCCCGGCAGUACUCUGCCGGGCAUGCCUGUUCGAGUGUCAUUUCAACCCUCAAGCCCUGCUUGGUGUUGGGGUCCCACGGCCGCCGUGGGCCCUGAAAGGAAGUGGCGGGCUCGCUACAACUCCGAGCGUAGUAAUUCAUUAUCUCGCUUAGGGCGUUGGGCGGCGCUCCUGCCGUUAAAGAACCAUCUUUAACUCAAGGUUGACCUCGGAUCAGGUAGGAAUACCCGCUGAACUUAAGCAUAUCAAUAAGCGGAGGA